UACGAAGGGGGCUAGCGUUGCUCGGAAUCACUGGGCGUAAAGGGUGCGUAGGCGGGUCUUUAAGUCAGGGGUGAAAUCCUGGAGCUCAACUCCAGAACUGCCUUUGAUACUGAGGAUCUUGAGUUCGGGAGAGGUGAGUGGAACUGCGAGUGUAGAGGUGAAAUUCGUAGAUAUUCGCAAGAACACCAGUGGCGAAGGCGGCUCACUGGCCCGGAUACUGACGCUGAGGCACGAAAGCGUGGGGAGCAAACAGGAUUAGAAACCC
rnacentral:rRNA from 1 species